rnacentral:tRNA from 1 species
GGUGGUGGCUCAGUGGUAGAGCACUUGCCUAGCAUUGUAAGGCACUGGGUUCAAUUCUCAGCACCA